rnacentral:lncRNA from 1 species
AUGGGUGGUAAGUUGCACAAAAUAAAACCUAAUCGCUCGCUCUCAUCUCGUUCAGACGAAUUAGGGAGGGGCGAUUUGGAGUGAUGGCUGCAUCCGACGAAGCUGACAGGAAAUUAUUUGAGGAGUGGAUGGAAAAGCGCAACAAAGUAUACAAAAGCGAGGAGGAGAAGGAGAUUAGAUUCGAGACGUUCAAAAUUAAUC